AGUAAUGACAUCCAUUGUUUAAAUAUUUGUAUUUCAGCAAACUGGAGAGGAAAAAUAAUAUCAUAAAAACAAAAUAAUAAUACAAAAAAAUAAUAAUAUAAAAAUAGCUUUACAUGCAAUUUAAAUGUUUCUUUACAAAUCACUGUAAUAUAGUAAUGUACCAAUUGACAUGGUUUACUGUAUAGUUGCAGCAUUAGUUGAGCCAGAUUUUUAACUCAGCUUUAGUUGUAUGUCUGAGUAAAUCAAUGACUAAUGUUGUGUUUUUGUGAUCUUGUUGCACUGCAUGUUUGAGAAUGAAGACUAAAAUCAAUUGCAAUUACAUCCCGAGGGGCUAAAGUAUCUCCCUAAAUGAAGACAAUGAGACAUUCAUUAAAGAAUAUGUGCAAACUAACGGCUGAAGGGAUGUGGUCAAGGAUAUUCUGCCCAAUCAGACUGACAUCAUCAUAGAAGAAAUUUUGGGAACACUUUCUAUAUUGUCUUGCAAAUCAUACCAGGGACUCAAAGGCUUGAAAAGUCUCACAAACUCCUUCAUUGUCUCCAGCUGCUGUAUAUGGGUGGAUGAAAGGGUAGACUCGCUUCUUCCCAGCCUUCUGACCUCCAUGUGGAUUUUCACCAAUUUAGACAAAACUUCUUUCUGAAACUCUGAAAUCAAAAUUAUGCUUUUGUGCUGAAACUUGUGCUAUUGUUAUCCUUAAACGGAUGUGUGAAUUGAAUCUGCUAAUGCUAUAUGUCCGGUUUAAUUCAAUAUUUGUGCUUUUGAUACCAGUUCCAACUUAAGUACUUACUUGCCACAUCCAUUGGGAAUCUUAAGUCUGUUUCCCUACGAGGCCCUGUACGUCUUGAUUCAUGUGCAGAAGACCUAUUACUCUUCUCUGAGAAAGACCUCCCAGAGGAUCUUGAGAUUUGUCUUUGAUCAAUUUAUAAUCUGAAAGACAAAAUUUGUCAACUUAUACUCUGUUGUCCAUAAUAAUUGAUAUAGCUCUUGUAGCAAGUUUGUGCCCAUAUUAUUUAAGUUUUUUUUUCAAAGCAACGCCAGUGUGUAAUUCCUGCUUCUGCUGUACUCAGCAGUCAGUCAAGCUCAAUUGGUGCAAAAACACUCUUGUUAUAACCAGUGAAGCUAUGUUAAUCUAAUGUUGAAUAAAUCUCUUACCACUUAGUUACAUUGCACACGUAGGUGGCACAUUACAGCUCUGACAAGGCCACGAGCUGAACGCAGCCAGUUUAGUCAAUGCUUUUUAUUUAUCCCAGCUACUCCAUGCUGCUUUACUUAAGAUAGCUGCCUAAUGUAUUUUGGAUGGAUAAUAAUAAUAUUUGCUGAUAUUUAGCUAUCGUCAAAGGCAUCAGCAACAGGCAAUAUGACAUGAUACUAUUAUCUAUCAGCACACCCUAUGUUCUACCAUGAGGCUCAGAAUGUUAAACAUAAAACCAGUUGUUGAAAAUAUGCUCAAAAUAUCUCAUAACACUGCUACUUUAGAACAUUUAUGUUCUUGACUUUGUGAACCGCAUAAAGGUUUGAAUGAAUACUGUCCUUGGACAAAUCGCUGUGCCUUGAAUGCUUGCCUUGUCCCAUCUGGUUGUUGUCCCUGGACUGGUUGCUGUGCCUGGUCUGCUUCCUGUGUCGGUACGGUUUGCUGUCCUGGGACCCACUGCUCUGCUGGGAUACAUCACUGUGCUGAGAUACAUCACUGUGGCUGGACUGAUGAGUGGACCCAGCACCACUUAAAGAGUCCUGAAACCCUAAACCAAAAUUGAACACCAUUGAAGACAAUGUUAGCCUCUGUUAGAUUUAAUAGUAGGGGGGAAAUGGUUAAAUGUUAGUUUUUAUAAGCUAUUUUCGUCUUCUGGGUUUAAAAUCUUCAUCCUGUCCAGAGCACGAUAGUACUUUGAUGACUCAUCGGUGUCUCAUAAUUAUUAAUGAGACUGAGUUUUUUAUCCAAUGAGAAGACACUCUCUUAAUUAUUCAUGACACCACGUGGAUCUUUCCGAAGCCCCUUUCACACUGCCAUUCCGGCAAAUACAGGGGUAAAGUGUUCCUGCAAUUGUUCCCUGGUCACUAGAUUUCGCUAUCUAUCUGUCUGUCUAUCUUUGUCUAUCUAUAUUUAUGUAUCUAUCUGUCUGUCUAUCUGUCUUUAUCUAUCUGUAAUGUGCUAUUUCUUUUUUUAAUGUUCAGCAGAAUAUGUUGACAGAUUGUAGGAUCUGCUUUUUGAAAGUGUGUUGGAGCAGCCACAACUGUUUCAGGAAUCUCUAAAAGGACUGAAGUUCCUGACCACCUCUGCACACAGUUUCAAAGACCUGAAAAGAGUGAAGCUGUUGCACAACACACGUCACGAUUUAGACCACCUUCUGUCUGUCUGUGAUCUAAAGUAAAUAAACAAAUUACAUGAAAAAAUUG